rnacentral:lncRNA from 1 species
AGAACCACCACAACAGAUUAUAUUUACAUUCACUUUGUUAGGUCGUCAUUACAUGGGAAAAUACCAGAGACCAAGUCUGGUCAUCAUGUUUUCCUGUUGCCUGGUUAUAAAGCUAACGGUGACUGACUCCUUGUUCAGUUUUCUUUGAAACCACGCAAGUUCAACUUGCUUCAAGGCAUCAUGAAGUUCUUAUACGCAUUGAUGCUGCUGUUUUUGCUGGUUUCCGUGAUCCACAAAGCCUCGGCCAAGACUUUAUGCAUCACUGACUACAGCCCAGUCUGCGCCACCAACGGCCGCACAUUCCCAAACCUUUGCAUGAUGAGGGGCACAGGGGCAAAAUUGAAACACAAAGGACGAUGUGGCACAAUUUAGGAGCGUAAAACGGACUGGUAAUUUGAAGAAACUGCUUAAUUUAUUCAUAUUGUUUAAUUUUCU